CCAAAAGGCAGUAUGAAAAUAAACCAGGAUGCACAAAAGAAUUUGCUCACAUUCUUUGUGUGACUGCAUCUCACCUUCUAUUCUGUGUCCUAAAACUUAGCACCUCUUUCUUUUCUCUCUCAAGAUAAAAUGAUAGAAACACUUACGGCAAAGGCUGGGAGAUGGGUAUUAUCGUACAGACAGCAAUUGGGGAGCGCAACUUGUUUUACAUUUUUCCAAUCACACUAAAUCACCAAGUAAACCUCAUGGAGCUGGUCUGCUGCCUGGGUCUGUGAAAAGUGGGAACAAGCUGCUGGGAAUGGAAGAAGAGCCAGGAACGGUUUCUCACCCUGGACCUGGAGCCAGUACCCCCCGAACCCACCCAAGGCUAGCUCCUGGACCCGCCAGGCAGAGAAGGGACCUCUGGAUCACAGGAUCUUCUCCUUCCCAGAGGCUAGCGAAGAUUAGAAAGUGAAAAAAAUGCACUCGCGAUGAAAUGUUCUCUGAGCUCAUGCUGUCCUCCCACACUGACAGAGCACAGACGAAUGCGUGGAGGCAGACAAUGUCAGAGUCCAGGAAAGCACAAAAUGACCGCGAGGAGAGGUAGUGGGCUGAAGAGAGGGCUGAAGCUGAAAGGUGGUGGCAGCAUGAUGAGAGGAGGCAGGAUUCAAUGCUGAAGUUGCUGGAGGAUCAAACCAAUAUGCUCCAGCAUAUGGUUGAGCUGGAGGAAAGGCAGCAGGAGCACAGACCACCACUACAGUCCCUGUGUAACCAACCGCCCUCCUCCCCAAGUUCCAUAGCCUCCUCACCCAGACACCCAAGAACAUUGUGGGGGGGCCUCCGGCCACUCCACCCCAGAGGAUUGUCCAGGCAACAGAAGGCUGGCAUUCAAUAAGUUUUAAAGUUUUAAACUUUUAAAGUUCUGUGUGGCCUUGUCCUUCCCUCCUCCACCACCCCUCCUGGUGCUUCGCUCCUCCACCACCCCUCCC